CUAAGCCCUGGAACUUAGCUCCCAGAGUGUAACCUCUGGCCUCUCCCACACCCGCUCCUAGCUAAAGGUGGCCAACAGCCAAAGGGUUUGGAGAUGUGAAAGUACCACCCUUCUCUGCCACC
rnacentral:lncRNA from 1 species